rnacentral:tRNA from 1 species
GGAGGGUUGGCAGAGCUGGUUUAAUGCGGCGGUCUUGAAAACCGUUGGCUCCCGCAAAGGAGCCCGAAGGUUCGAAUCCUUCACCCUCCG